GCGACUACCUGGACGAAAACUGACGCUGAGGCACGAAAGCUAGGGGAGCAAACAGGAUUAGAUACCCUGGUAGUCCUAGCCGUAAACGAUGGGUACUAGGUGUAGGAGGUUUCGAUACCUUCUGUGCCGCAGUUAACGCAAUAAGUACCCCGCCUGGGGAGUACGUGCGCAAGCAUGAAACUCAAAGGAAUUGACGGGGGCCCGCACAAGCGGUGGAGCAUGUGGUUUAAUUCGAAGCAACGCGAAGAACCUUACCAGGUCUUGACAUCCCUUGACCACCUCAGAGAUGAGGUUUCUCUUCGGAGCAAGGAGACAGGUGGUGCAUGGUUGUCGUCAGCUCGUGUCGUGAGAUGUUGGGUUAAGUCCCGCAACGAGCGCAACCCUUGCCUUUAGUUGCCAUCAUUAAGUUGGGCACUCUAGAGGGACUGCCGGUGACAAACCGGAGGAAGGUGGGGAUGACGUCAAAUCAUCAUGCCCCUUAUGUCCUGGGCUACACACGUGCUACAAUGGUCUGCACAGAGGGAAGCGAAGCAGUGAUGUGAAGCGAAUCCCAGAAAACAGAUCUCAGUUCGGAUUGUAGGCUGCAACUCGCCUACAUGAAGGUGGAAUCGCUAGUAAUCGCAGGUCAGCAUACUGCGGUGAAUACGUUCCCGGGCCUUGUACACACCGCCCGUCACACCACGAAAGUUUGCAACACCCGAAGCCGGUGGCCUAACCCGCAAGGGGGGGAGCUGUCGAAGGUGGGGCAGAUGAUUGGGGUGAAGUCGUAACAAGGUAACC
rnacentral:rRNA from 1 species